rnacentral:lncRNA from 1 species
UGACAAAUGUUAAUCUGGUCGACUAGGAAGAGGCGUCUUAGUGAGUGGACAGACGAUUUGUAAUUGGCUCUACAGAACCACCUGCAUGCCCGAUGUCCACAUGUGAUCCCACGAUCGGCGGGGCGUCAUAUUACUGCAAGACAUAUUUAUUGUCAAGUCCAGCACUGGACCAGUCGUCGUUGUUUUCGGAAGAAUCAAAUUUAAAUUAUAAUUAAGACUUCCUUGACAGAAUGGGACGUGGAGGGAAUGGGUGUUUUCAUGCUGUCAAGUGAUUAACAUAUGUAAUUUGGCUACAGUACAGUUUGCUGUGCAAUAUUGUGUAUGAAGAGUUAAUGGAAUUGAGGUUGACGUACAGAUAACUUGGUAAUAUGUUUUCUUCUUCAAAUUAUUUUGUCAUUGAAUGGUUUGAAACGUGACUUUGUGAUAGAAAUAGUGGCGUGACUCCAGAAUGUUCAUCCUUCCAGAAGUAGUCAAAUAUAUGUGUCCAUUCAUAAUGGUUUUCAAUCAUGGCAGUAAAAAUCCGCGUUACUUCCUAUCACUGUAUACCUCACAUACGUGAAGAAAUAGUGUGAUGUGUUUUCGUUGUGAUGUCAACAGGAACAGACUGGCCGGCCCGUUAUAUGUCUGUUAUACAUGUCAAGGUCAAGGUCACUAUAACCGAGCUUGAAGCAACAGUGUAUGAUUUCUUAUCAACGUUUUUAAAUUCAGAGAGUUAUAGGAAUCUUUGUAUCUGUUAGGUAAAACAUUCAAUAAAUAUACUGUUUAUUCAUACUUUUCACUCUCAAAGAAAAGAGACAUGAUAAUCCAAAAUGUAGAAUGACACACUGACCAAAACCCACGAUCCCCUACACACGUCCGCGGUCAAUUUCUGUAAUAUGUGGGGCAAAAUGUUUCGGGGAAUAGUCUUACUCCUCCAUUAGAUGAAGAAUAUACUUACUCCUUCAUCAAGUGGUGAAUAUACUCACUGCUAUAUCAGGUGGUGAAUAUACUUACUUCUUCAUCAGGCAAAGAAUGUACUUCCUCAUUCGUCAUGUGAAGGAUAUCAUUAUACCUUCAUCGGGUAAAGAAUAUAAUUACUCCAUCGGGUAAAGAACAUACAUAGUCCUUCAUCAGGUGAAAAAUAUCCAUAUUCCUUCAUCAGGUAAAGAAUAUACUGACUCUUCCAUAAGGUGUAGAAUUACACACUCCUUCAUCCGGUUAAGAUUAUACUUACUCCUUCAUCAGGUGUAGAGUAUGUAUACUCCUUCAUCGGGUAAAGAAUAUGCUUACUCCAUCAAGUGUAGAAUGUAAGAACACCUUCAGCCAUUGAAGAGUAUCCUUACUCCUUCAGAUGAAAAGUUUACUUAUUAAUUCAUUAGGUGAAGAGUACACAAACUGCUUGAGCAGGUGAAGAAUAUAUAUAAUUACACCUUUAUUGGCUGAUGAAUAUAAUUUCUCCUUCAUGAGGUGAAGAAUAGACUUACACAUUCACCACCGAAGGAAUAUACUUCUACCUUUAUCAGUUGAAAAAUAUGUGUAAUUACAUUUUUGGUUGAGAAUAUACUUACUCCUUCAUCAGGUGGAAAAUAUAUUUACUCCUUAAUCAAGUACUCCUUUAUCAGGUGUAUAAUAUACUUACUCUUUCACCACACGAAAAAUAUACUUACUCCUUCAUCGUGUGGAGAAUAUACUUACUCCUUCUUCGGGUUGAGAAUAUACUUACACAUUCAACGGAUGAUGAAUAUACUUGAGCCCCUAGACGCUGGGAUUAUCUAGCCUUUCAAGGCUCAUUACAGGAGACAUCAGCUCAAUCACCUUGUUGAUUACAUAGGGCCGCUAACUAUCCUAUCUAGCUAUAACUCUACCCUGGAUAUAAUACCAUAUUUCACCUGGACAAACGGUCAACCAGGGUAUACUGUAAUUACACCUUCAUCGGUUGAUGAGGAUACUUUCUUCAUCACGUGAAGAAUAUACUCACUCCUUCAUCAUGUGAAGAAUAUGUAUAAUUACAGCUUCAUUGGGUGAUGAAUAUAGAUACUCCUUCUUUCUUUCAAGAAUAUUUUACUU